rfam:Stegodyphus mimosarum contig72766, whole genome shotgun sequence.
GCCUUCGUGGUGUAGUGGUCAGCAAGCUCAGCGCAUAAUCGAGAGGUCCUCGGUUCGAGUCCCGGCGAGGGCA